UGGUUCUGGCAUNGAUGAAGAACGCAGCGAAAUGCGAUAAGUAAUGCGAAUUGCAGAAUUCAGUGAGUCAUCGAAUCUUUGAACGCAUAUUGCGCCCUUUGGCAUUCCGAAGGGCAUGCCUGUUCGAGCGUCAUUAUCAACCCUCAAGCUUAGCUUGUUAUUGGAUGAAAUUUUCUAUAAACGACAAUUCAUCCCAAAGGCAAUGGCGGUGUCUUUUGACCCUUGAUGCAACGAGCUUUUCAAAAGCACGCAUUUAAAGUGGUUAAUUGAUUCUUGACCUUUCUAUUAAAUUUUAAGGUUGACCUCGGAUCAGGUAGGAAUACCCGCUGA
rnacentral:misc_RNA from 1 species